UACGUAGGGUGCGAGCGUUAAUCGGAAUUACUGGGCGUAAAGCGUGCGCAGGCGGUUUUUGUAAGCCGGAUGUGAAAUCCCCCGGGCUUAACCUGGGAAUGGCAUUCGGGACUGCAAGGCUGGAGUGCGGCAGAGGAGACUGGAAUUCCUGGUGUAGCAGUGAAAUGCGUAGAUAUCAGGAAGAACACCUAUGGCGAAGGCAGCACUCUGGGGACGGUACUGACGCUGAGACGCGAAAAGCGUGGGGAGCGAACAGG
rnacentral:rRNA from 1 species